UACAGAGGGGGCAAGCGUUGUUCGGAAUUACUGGGCGUAAAGGGCGCGUAGGCGGCCCGCUAAGUCGAACGUGAAAUCCCCGAGCUCAACUCGGGAACUGCGUCCGAUACUGGCGGGCUUGAAUCCGGGAGAGGGAUGCGGAAUUCCAGGUGUAGCGGUGAAAUGCGUAGAUAUCGAGAGGAACACCUGCGGCGAAGGCGGGUAGCUGGGCCGACACUGACGCUGAGGCGCGAAAGCCAGGGGAGCGAACGGG
rnacentral:rRNA from 1 species